GGCGGUUCUCGGGUGACACACCCUGGAAUUGGGCUCCCUCCUCUCUGGUUCUGGGUGCAUCAGCCAAGAACUGCU
rfam:Myotis lucifugus cont2.13485, whole genome shotgun sequence.